AACGAACGCUGGCGGCAUGCCUAACACAUGCAAGUCGAACGAACCCUUCGGGGUUAGUGGCGCACGGGUGCGUAACGCGUGGGAAUCUGCCCUUGGCUUCGGAAUGACAGUUAGAAAUGACUGCUAAUACCGGAUGAUGUCUUCGGACCAAAGAUUUAUCGGCCAGGGAUGAGCCCGCGUAGGAUUAGGUAGUUGGUGGGGUAAUGGCCUACCAAGCCGACGAUCCUUAGCUGGUCUGAGAGGAUGAUCAGCCACACUGGGACUGAGACACGGCCCAGACUCCUACGGGAGGCAGCAGUGGGGAAUAUUGGACAAUGGGCGCAAGCCUGAUCCAGCAAUGCCGCGUGAGUGAUGAAGGCCUUAGGGUCGUAAAGCUCUUUUACCCGGGAUGAUAAUGACAGUACCGGGAGAAUAAGCUCCGGCUAACUCCGUGCCAGCCGCCGCCGUAA
rnacentral:rRNA from 1 species